AAGUCGUAACAAGGUUUCCGUAGGUGAACCUGCGGAAGGAUCAUUAAAGAGAUAGGGUUCUCACGAGCCCGACCUCCAACCCUUUGUCUACCGAACCACUGUUGCCUCGGCGGGCCGCCGAUGCUCCUUUCAGGGGUGUCGCCGUCGGCUUUUGGGCUCUCGAGCGCCCGCCGCAGGACCAUUAAACCCUUUUUAAAACAGAUCUUCUGAGUGGAUAUUAAUGCUUCAAAUAAAACUUUCAACAACGGAUCUCUUGGUUCUG
rnacentral:misc_RNA from 1 species